GACGAACGCUGGCGGCGUGCUUAACACAUGCAAGUCGAACGGAAAGGCCCUGCUUUUGUGGGGUGCUCGAGUGGCGAACGGGUGAGUAACACGUGAGUAACCUGCCCUUGACUUUGGGAUAACUUCAUGAAACUGGGGCUAAUACCGGAUAGGAGCUCCUGCUGCAUGGUGGGGGUUGGAUAGUUUCGGCGGUUGGGGAUGGACUCGCGGCUUAUCAGCUUGUUGGUGGGGUAGUGGCUUACCAAGGCUUUGACGGGUAGCCGGCCUGAGAGGGUGACCGGCCACAUUGGGACUGAGAUACGGCCCAGACUCCUACGGGAGGCAGCAGUGGGGAAUAUUGCACAAUGGGCGGAAGCCUGAUGCAGCAACGCCGCGUGCGGGAUGACGGCCUUCGGGUUGUAAACCGCUUUCGCCUGUGACGAAGCGUGAGUGACGGUAAUGGGUAAAGAAGCACCGGCUAACUACGUG
rnacentral:rRNA from 1 species